GGCCUGGCCGAGCCACAAGGCAUUUGGAACGCUCUCCCAAUUCCGGUGAACGAAGAUAUUGUAAUUGGGUUUUGUCUUUUUUACUUUUUAUUAUAAAAGAAAUGAAUGUUAAAAUUUGGAGUUUUAUCGAACAUAUGGAAUACAAUAAUAUUAAUAAGAACUUAUUUACCAUCGUCAUGCGGCGACUCAAGUUUAAAGGUUGACACUUGGGCAUAGGGGCAAAGUGAAGAGUGGAAGAUUAUGGAGGCCAAAAGGCUGUGCUCUCAAGCAGGGCGGUGGCGUCAGAUGCACCCCGCCGCACCCAUCUUAUCUGCUAAUUCCUACUUGGUCCACCCCACAAAUUCACUCAAUUCUUCACCCUCCUCUACAAUCCCAGAUCAUCAAAAGCUGAACUGUAUUCUUGAAGCCUGCAAAUUCUCCUCAGAUUUCAGAACUGCAUUUCAGAGCCACGCUAAAAUCAUAAAAUUUGGAUAUGGUACGUACCCAUCCCUUAUAACCUCUCUCGUAUCAACAUAUGCGCAUUGUGAUUGCCUGGAUCUUGCUCAUCAACUUCUUGAUGAAAUGCCCUAUUGGGGUUUUGAUUUGAUCACUGCAAAUUUAAUAAUAGCAAGCUUGAUGAAAGUUGGAGAGUUUGACUUUGCCAAGAGGGUAUUCCGUAAAAUGCUCCGUCGAGAUGUGGUUACAUGGAACUCAAUGAUUGGAGGCUGUGUUAGAAAUGAACGGUUUGAGGAGGCUCUUAGAUUCUUUCGAGAAAUGCUGAACUCGAAUGUUGAACCGGAUGGGUUUACGUUUGCAUCCGUUAUUAAUGGCUGUGCACGACUUGGAUCUUCUCAUCAUGCUGAGUUGGUGCAUGGUUUAAUGAUUGAGAAGAAGAUUCAACUGAACUUUAUAUUGAGUUCGGCAUUAAUAGAUCUGUACUCAAAAUGUGGAAGAAUCAAUACUGCAAAAAAAGUUUUUAAUAGCAUUCAGCAUGAUGAUGUGUCUGUCUGGAAUUCAAUGAUUAAUGGCCUAGCAAUUCAUGGGCUUGCUUUGGAUGCAAUUGGAGUAUUCUCACAAAUGGAGAUGGAAAGUGUUUCACCUGAUUCUAUAACCUUCAUUGGAAUUUUAACAGCAUGUAGCCAUUGUGGUUUGGUUGAACAAGGUCGCAGGUAUUUUGAUCUAAUGAGAAGGCAUUACUCAAUUCAGCCACAGCUUGAGCAUUAUGGAGCCAUGGUUGACCUUCUGGGUCGAGCUGGGUUGGUCGAAGAAGCUUAUGCAAUGAUUAAGGCAAUGCCAAUGGAGCCAGAUAUUGUCAUAUGGAGGGCGCUUCUUAGUGCUUGCAGAAAUUUCAAGAAUCCAGAAUUGGGGGAAGUUGCAAUUGCAAAAAUAUCACAUCUCAAUAGUGGAGAUUACAUCUUGUUGUCGAAUAUGUAUUGCUCACUAGAGAAAUGGGAUUCCGCAGAAAGAGUGAGAGAAAUGAUGAAAAGAGAUGGAGUUCGUAAGAAUCGUGGUAGAAGUUGGGUUGAGUUGGGUGGUGUCAUUCACCAAUUCAAGGCUGGUGAUCGAUCACAUCCUGAAACAGGAGCAAUCUACAAAGUGCUGGAAGGAUUGAUCCGACGCACCAAGUUGGAAGGAUUUAUGCCAGCUACUGACUUGGUUUUAAUGGAUGUGUCUGAUGAGGAAAGAGAGGAGAACUUGAAUUCCCACAGUGAGAAGUUGGCAUUGGCUUAUGUGAUCCUCAAAACCAGUCCUGGAACAGAAAUUAGGGUUUCAAAAAAUCUCCGCACUUGUCAUGACUGUCAUUGUUGGAUGAAAAUACUCUCUAGACUGCUAAGCAGGGUGAUAAUAGUGAGGGAUCGGAUCCGUUUUCAUCAGUUUGAAGGGGGUUUAUGUUCCUGCAGAGACUAUUGGUAGUUGGUCCCGGGAAUGCUAUGUAAAGAUGUGGUUUCUUGGAAGUUGGGAAUGUGAAUGUGCAUUAGGAAUACCCAUGCAUUAGGCAAUUAUGUUCCUUGCUCAGAUGGUUAACUCAUAUAUAAAUUUGAAUGUCCGACUGAGUAGCUUGUUGCUUGGUGUGGAAUCAAACUUAGACUUUGUAAGGUUCAAUUCAAGUUUGCUUUUGCUCUGGGUUAGAAGCAACUAAAUGAUUGCUAUGCUUUUUGAAGCGCCAUUUGUAAUGUUGUACAGUUAACAAUUUGAUAAGGGUCAACACUUUUGGAAGCAAACACAUGACAAUAAUGGAAGAAUGAGCUGAAUUGGCCUUGGUAAGAUGGUCAUGUGAAAGGCAUUGCCAUGCUGGAUGGAAGCCACUUAUGAUGGUACUAAUACCCAAACAACCAAUAAGAUGCAUUGGUUUCUGUCAUUUGCAUAUUCACACUUCUAAGAAGUUUGUGUCUGGAAUAGCACCUCUGUACAAAGCUCAUGUAAAUGGCAAUGCUGUUGGUGCUGGAUGAAAACUUAUUAUCACUAUCCCUGCAACCAAAGAACCCACAAGCAAUCAUGGCAGCUCUGAAGUAUCCAACUUGAAAGAUCCUGUAUGGUGGACACAACCAUGAGAGUUUCCCACCCAGUAAUCUUAACCCUGCAUUGUGUUGAUGGGUGUCUAGUUUAUUCAUGGCUUCAUGAUCUAUGCUCAUUGAUAACUUGUGCUAAGCAUGUCUGCCAGCGAGGAUGAGAAGCCACUGGCCUCCCCUGAGGUGGACCUGUCCAGCAGUGAGCCCAGAACAACUAUGUCAGUUAAGACAUUGGGGGAACUGGUUCUAUCCAAAAUGGGACUGAAAAGGACAUCAAGUUUUCCAACAGUGUUGACCAUACGUCCCUUUGCGACCUGCAGGACAAUCCAAUUUGAUGUACAAAUGGUGAAUUUGUUUUAAUUCCCUUGCUGAAUUCUAGCGACUUUGGUGGGUUGUUUCUAUCCUUGCACAGUUUGUACUUUGACUUUUUUCCUGGAUUUGUGAAGGCCCACCCACGUACAACUUGGAGGUUCUCUCAGAUUCUUGGAUGAAAGCACCUCAUUGGCUGGUAGAAAAUUGGGGCUUGUUGGAUCUAAAAACUUUUCCUCUUUGGAAUAAAGAUCCAACACUCGCGCAAAACUUCUUCCAGUGCUGAAGGCUUAGCCAUAUAAGCGAAGACUUUUGUUUUAUCUGGCUUGGGAACUGUGUAAGCCUUUGAUGAGGCUUGACCGUAGUCAGUCUUUUGUAGUCUGUUUGUUCAACUGUUUUCAUUUAUAUCACGUGUAUUCUGGAAAAAUACAUCAGUGAAUACUUCCUAAUGUGAGUGCGCAUUAUAAUCCCAUUAUUUUCUUCAAUUUC